rnacentral:tRNA from 1 species
GGCCCGGUGGUCUAGUGGUAUGAUUCUCGCUUUGGGUGCGAGAGGUCCAGGGUUCGAUUCCCUGCCGAGCCC